ensembl:lncRNA
GUUGUGUGCGAGUUUGAACAGGUGAGUUUUGAGUUGUGACUUGAAGGUUGUAAUGGUGUCUGAUUGUUUUAUGUGUGGGGGGAGGGAGUUCCAGAGCCUGGGUGCUGAACAGCUGAAUGACCGGGCACCCAUUGUAGUGAGUCGUGAUGUGGGGAUACAUAGUAGUCCAGAAGAGGUUGAGCGGAGGGAGCGGGAGGGAGUGUAUUCUUGGAGGAGGUCACAGAGAUAACUGGGGGCUAGGUUGUGGAGAGCUUUGUAGGUGAGGAGUAGGGUUUUGUAUUGGAUACGGUAGUGUACUGGGAGCCAGUGAAGUUGAAUGAGGACAGGGGUGAUGUGGUCAGAUGAUUUGGUGCGGGUGAUGAUCCGGGCGGCUGAGUUCUGAAUGAUCUGCAGUCUGUUGAUGAGUUUGGUGGGGAAGGUUGAGCGGAGGGAGCGGGAGGGAGUGUAUUCUUGGAGGAGGUCACAGAGAUAACUGGGGGCUAGGUUGUGGAGAGCUUUGUAGGUGAGGAGUAGGGUUUUGUAUUGGAUACGGUAGUGUACUGGGAGCCAGUGAAGUUGAAUGAGGACAGGGGUGAUGUGGUCAGAUGAUUUGGUGCGGGUGAUGAUCCGGGCGGCUGAGUUCUGAAUGAUCUGCAGUCUGUUGAUGAGGAGCGGGAGGAGUGUAUUCUUGGAGGAGGUCACAGAGAUAACUGGGGGCUAGGUUGUGGAGAGCUUUGUAGGUGAGGAGUAGGGUUUUGUAUUGGAUACGGUAGUGUACUGGGAGCCAGUGAAGUUGAAUGAGGACAGGGGUGAUGUGGUCAGAUGAUUUGGUGCGGGUGAUGAUCCGGGCGGCUGAGUUCUGAAUGAUCUGCAGUCUGUUGAUGAG